GACGAACGCUGGCGGCGUGCCUAAUACAUGCAAGUCGAACGCAGGGGGGACGGGUGAGUAACACGUGGGUAACCUCCCAUCAGAGGGGAUAACGCUUGGAAACAGGUGCUAAACCGAUAGUGAUGGAUGAACGCGAGUGGCAUUAGCUAGUUGGUGAGGUAACGGCUUACCAAGGCGACGAAGCAUAGCCGGCCUGAGAGGAUGAUCGGCCACACGGGGACUGAGACACGGCCCAGACUCCUACGGGAGGCAGCAGUGGGGAAUCUUGGGCAAUGGACGAAAGUCUGACCCAGCAACGCCGCGUGAAUGAAGAAGGUUUUCGGGUCGUAAAGCUCUGUUGUUAGAGAGGCGGUAUCUAACCAAGAAGCAACGGCUAACUACGUGCCAGCCGCCGCGGUAAUAC
rnacentral:rRNA from 1 species